GGUGCCAGUUAACCAACCAGUUUACAUACAAAUGCAUGCUUGUAAAAUGACCACAUACAAUUCAGUCCCAACAUCAUAUUUUACCAUUAGAGGGUAUCUGUAGGAAUAUAAAGUGGGUUGCAGGAAAAGAAGCUUGCUCAUUGGCAACCACUUAAAUACUGCUACAUGAAUUCCUUGUCAUUUUGCAAUUUACAAUAUGAAGGUUCUACAGAUUUUGAUGAAACUGUUCCAUAUUUUGCUUCAAUUAUUCAACGUGACGCUCCUAAAUGACAUUCAUAUCACUCAAUUGUGGCUAACAGAGCAAACACAUCAUCAAAAUUUAGACGCAACUACUAAGAACACAAUAGCAAUUCAAGUUGUAUCUUGGCAUCCCUUCUUCAUGUAGACUCAAGUACCAAGACAUAAGUACCUCAAUUGCAUACUAGAAGUAAUUAGCUCAGAACAAUUUAGAAAAGGACUCAGUCACGACAUUUGAAACUAAAUACAAAACUAACUCAAACAGAUAUAUACAGAUUCAACUGUGCAAGAACAAACCUGGAGAACCCAAUGGGCA
rnacentral:misc_RNA from 1 species